rnacentral:SRP_RNA from 1 species
GCCAGGCGUGGUGGUACGUGCCUGUAGUUCCAGCUCCUCAGGAGGCUGAGGUGGGAGGAUGGCUUGAGCCCAGGAGAUCUGGGCUGUAGUGCACUAUGCCAGUCGGGUGUCUGCACUAAGUUCGGUGUUAACGUGGUAACCUCCCGGGAUCAGGGGACCGCCAGGUUACCUAAGGAGGGGUGAACCAGCCCAGGUCGGAAACGGAUCAGGUCAAAACUCCCGUGCUGAUCAGUAGUGGGAUCUCGCCUGUGCAUAGCCACUGCACUCCAGCCUGGGCAACAUAGCGAGACCCUGUCUCU